rnacentral:tRNA from 1 species
GCGGAAAUAGCUCAGUUGGUAGAGCAUCACCUUGCCAAGGUGGGGGUCGCGAGUUCGAGUCUCGUUUUCCGC